CCAGCAGCCGCGGUAAUACGAGGGUGCAAGCGUUGUCCGGAUUUAUUGGGCGUAAAGAGCUCGUAGGCGGUAUGUCGCGUCGGAUGUGAAAAUCCAAGGCUCAACCUUGGACCUGCAUCCGAUACGGGCACACUAGAGUGUGGUAGGGGAGACUGGAACUCCUGGUGUAGCGGUGAAAUGCGCAGAUAUCAGGAAGAACACCAAUGGCGAAGGGAGGUCUCUGGGCCAUUACUGACGCUGAGGAGCGAAAGCGUGGGGAGCAAACAGGAUUAGAUACCUGGUAGUCACCCGUAACGGUGGCGCUAGGUGUGGGGACCAUUCCACGGUUUCCGCGCCGCAGCUAACGCAUUAAGCGCCCCGCCUGGGGAGUACGGCCGCAAGGCUAAAACUCAAAGGAAUUGACGGGGGCCCGCACAAGCGGCGGAGCAUGCGGCUUAAUUCGAUGCAACGCGAAGAACCUUACCUGGGCUUGACAUAUGGGGAAAACCGGCAGAGAUGUCGGGUCCGCAAGGGCCUCAUACAGGUGGUGCAUGGCUGUCGUCAGCUCGUGUCGUGAGAUGUUGGGUUAAGUCCCGCAACGAGCGCAACCCUCGUCCUAUGUUGCCAGCGAGUAAUGUCGGGGACUCAUAGGAGACUGCCGGGGUCAACUCGGAGGAAGGUGGGGAUGACGUCAAGUCAUCAUGCCCCUUAUGUCCAGGGCUGCACGCAUGCUACAAUGGCCGGUACAAAGGGCUGCAAAACCGUAAGGUGGAGCGAAUCCCAAAAAGCCGGUCUCAGUUCGGAUUGGGGUCUGCAACUCGACCCCAUGAAGUCGGAGUCGCUAGUAAUCGCAGAUCAGCAACGCUGCGGUGAAUACGUUCCCGGGCCUUGUACACACCGCCCGUCACGUCACGAAAGUCGGUAACACCCGAAGCCGGUGGCCUAACCCCUUGUGGGAAGGAGCCGUCGAAGGUGGGACUGGCGAUUGGGACGAAGUCGUAACAAGGUAGCCGAU
rnacentral:rRNA from 1 species